GGGUUGUGAGGUUAAGCGACUAAGCGUACACGGUGGAUGCCCUGGCAGUCAGAGGCGAUGAAGGACGUGCUAAUCUGCGAUAAGCGUCGGUAAGGUGAUAUGAACCGUUAUAACCGGCGAUUUCCGAAUGGGGAAACCCAGUGUGUUUCGACACACUAUCAUUAACUGAAUCCAUAGGUUAAUGAGGCGAACCGGGGGAACUGAAACAUCUAAGUACCCCGAGGAAAAGAAAUCAACCGAGAUUCCCCCAGUAGCGGCGAGCGAACGGGGAGCAGCCCAGAGCCUGAAUCAGUGUGUGUGUUAGUGGAAGCGUCUGGAAAGGCGCGCGAUACAGGGUGACAGCCCCGUACACAAAAAUGCACAUACUGUGAGCUCGAUGAGUAGGGCGGGACACGUGGUAUCCUGUCUGAAUAUGGGGGGACCAUCCUCCAAGGCUAAAUACUCCUGACUGACCGAUAGUGAACCAGUACCGUGAGGGAAAGGCGAAAAGAACCCCGGCGAGGGGAGUGAAAAAGAACCUGAAACCGUGUACGUACAAGCAGUGGGAGCCUCUGGGGUGACUGCGUACCUUUUGUAUAAUGGGUCAGCGACUUAUAUUCUGUAGCAAGGUUAACCGAAUAGGGGAGCCGAAGGGAAACCGAGUCUUAACUGGGCGUUAAGUUGCAGGGUAUAGACCCGAAACCCGGUGAUCUAGCCAUGGGCAGGUUGAAGGUUGGGUAACACUAACUGGAGGACCGAACCGACUAAUGUUGAAAAAUUAGCGGAUGACUUGUGGCUGGGGGUGAAAGGCCAAUCAAACCGGGAGAUAGCUGGUUCUCCCCGAAAGCUAUUUAGGUAGCGCCUCGUGAAUUCAUCUCCGGGGGUAGAGCACUGUUUCGGCAAGGGGGUCAUCCCGACUUACCAACCCGAUGCAAACUGCGAAUACCGGAGAAUGUUAUCACGGGAGACACACGGCGGGUGCUAACGUCCGUCGUGAAGAGGGAAACAACCCAGACCGCCAGCUAAGGUCCCAAAGUCAUGGUUAAGUGGGAAACGAUGUGGGAAGGCCCAGACAGCCAGGAUGUUGGCUUAGAAGCAGCCAUCAUUUAAAGAAAGCGUAAUAGCUCACUGGUCGAGUCGGCCUGCGCGGAAGAUGUAACGGGGCUAAACCAUGCACCGAAGCUGCGGCAGCGACGCUUAUGCGUUGUUGGGUAGGGGAGCGUUCUGUAAGCCUGUGAAGGUGUGCUGUGAGGCAUGCUGGAGGUAUCAGAAGUGCGAAUGCUGACAUAAGUAACGAUAAAGCGGGUGAAAAGCCCGCUCGCCGGAAGACCAAGGGUUCCUGUCCAACGUUAAUCGGGGCAGGGUGAGUCGACCCCUAAGGCGAGGCCGAAAGGCGUAGUCGAUGGGAAACAGGUUAAUAUUCCUGUACUUGGUGUUACUGCGAAGGGGGGACGGAGAAGGCUAUGUUGGCCGGGCGACGGUUGUCCCGGUUUAAGCGUGUAGGCUGGUUUUCCAGGCAAAUCCGGAAAAUCAAGGCUGAGGCGUGAUGACGAGGCACUACGGUGCUGAAGCAACAAAUGCCCUGCUUCCAGGAAAAGCCUCUAAGCAUCAGGUAACAUCAAAUCGUACCCCAAACCGACACAGGUGGUCAGGUAGAGAAUACCAAGGCGCUUGAGAGAACUCGGGUGAAGGAACUAGGCAAAAUGGUGCCGUAACUUCGGGAGAAGGCACGCUGAUAUGUAGGUGAAGUCCCUCGCGGAUGGAGCUGAAAUCAGUCGAAGAUACCAGCUGGCUGCAACUGUUUAUUAAAAACACAGCACUGUGCAAACACGAAAGUGGACGUAUACGGUGUGACGCCUGCCCGGUGCCGGAAGGUUAAUUGAUGGGGUUAGCGGUAACGCGAAGCUCUUGAUCGAAGCCCCGGUAAACGGCGGCCGUAACUAUAACGGUCCUAAGGUAGCGAAAUUCCUUGUCGGGUAAGUUCCGACCUGCACGAAUGGCGUAAUGAUGGCCAGGCUGUCUCCACCCGAGACUCAGUGAAAUUGAACUCGCUGUGAAGAUGCAGUGUACCCGCGGCAAGACGGAAAGACCCCGUGAACCUUUACUAUAGCUUGACACUGAACAUUGAGCCUUGAUGUGUAGGAUAGGUGGGAGGCUUUGAAGUGUGGACGCCAGUCUGCAUGGAGCCGGCCUUGAAAUACCACCCUUUAAUGUUUGAUGUUCUAACGUUGGCCCCUGAUCGGGGUUGCGGACAGUGUCUGGUGGGUAGUUUGACUGGGGCGGUCUCCUCCUAAAGAGUAACGGAGGAGCACGAAGGUUGGCUAAUCCUGGUCGGACAUCAGGAGGUUAGUGCAAUGGCAUAAGCCAGCUUGACUGCGAGCGUGACGGCGCGAGCAGGUGCGAAAGCAGGUCAUAGUGAUCCGGUGGUUCUGAAUGGAAGGGCCAUCGCUCAACGGAUAAAAGGUACUCCGGGGAUAACAGGCUGAUACCGCCCAAGAGUUCAUAUCGACGGCGGUGUUUGGCACCUCGAUGUCGGCUCAUCACAUCCUGGGGCUGAAGUAGGUCCCAAGGGUAUGGCUGUUCGCCAUUUAAAGUGGUACGCGAGCUGGGUUUAGAACGUCGUGAGACAGUUCGGUCCCUAUCUGCCGUGGGCGCUGGAGAACUGAGGGGGGCUGCUCCUAGUACGAGAGGACCGGAGUGGACGCAUCACUGGUGUUCGGGUUGUCAUGCCAAUGGCACUGCCCGGUAGCUAAAUGCGGAAGAGAUAAGUGCUGAAAGCAUCUAAGCACGAAACUUGCCCCGAGAUGAGUUCUCCCUGACUCCUUGAGAGUCCUGAAGGAACGUUGAAGACGACGACGUUGAUAGGCCGGGUGUGUAAGCGCAGCGAUGCGUUGAGCUAACCGGUACUAAUGAACCGUGAGGCUUAACCUUACAACGCCGAAG
rnacentral:rRNA from 1 species